CAGAGGGGGCAAGCGUUGUUCGGAAUUACUGGGCGUAAAGGGCGCGUAGGCGGCCUGUUAAGUCGAAACGUGAAAUCCCCGGGCUCAACCCGGGAACUGCGUCCGAUACUGGCAGGCUUGAAUUCGGGAGAGGGAUGCGGAAUUCCAGGUGUAGCGGUGAAAUGCGUAGAUAUCUGGAGGAACACCGGUGGCGAAGGCGGCAUCCUGGACCGAGAUUGACGCUGAGGCGCGAAAGCCAGGGGAGCAAACGGGAUUAGAUACCCCGGUAGUCCUGGCCCUAGACGAUGAAUGCUUGGUGUGGCGGGUAUCGAUCCCUGCCGUGCCGAAGCUAACGCAUUAAGCAUUCCGCCUGGGGAGUACGGUCGCAAGGCUG
rnacentral:rRNA from 1 species